rnacentral:rRNA from 1 species
AGAGUUUGAUCCUGGCUCAGGACUAACGCUGGUGGUGUGUCUUAGCCAUGCAAGUCGAGCGAACCCUUUUGGUAGCAAUACUGAAAUAGGGUUAGCGGCGAACGGGUGAGUAACACGUGAGUAACCUAUCCUGAAGUGAGAGAUAAUUUCGGGAAACUGGAACUAAUAUCUCAUGUGAUCUAGAAGGUGUAUGCUUUCUGGAUCAAAGGUGGCCUCUACUUGUAAGCUACCGCUUUGGGAGGGGCUCGCGUCCCAUCAGGUAGUUGGUAGGGUAAUUGCCUACCAAGCCUUAGACGGGUAGCCGGCCUGAGAGGGUGAACGGCCACACUGGGACUGAGACACGGCCCAGACUCCUACGGGAGGCAGCAGGCUAGAAAAUUGGGCAAUGGGCGAAAGCCUGACCCAGCGACACCACGUGGGGGAUGAAGGCCUUCGGGUUGUAAACCCCUGUCAGGGAGGACGAAGUCUAUGGAGGUGAAUAAUCUUCAUAGG